UUUAUGGUUCAGCUCAACACGUGAGCCCCAACGGAUCCACGACGCUACAACGGAACUCAAAGAAGACAACCGUUCCUCUCAAAGUCAGAGAUCUCUCGUCGUUGGCGAACGGUCAGUGUCUUUGCCUUGGCUUUUUCUCAUCUCAGGCCGUAUCUGAAGGGACGAUCUCCUUCAUUACUCUCUCACACGGCAGGAUUUCUUAUAAGAUCAUCAUCGAUUUUUUCAUGCUUCAUUUCGUAAUGAUCUAUCUGUGCUAAGUGUCUCUUAUAGGUCAGAAAAUUUUCUAUCCUUCGCAGUUGCCGAUUAUCUCAUUGGCGAUUUUCUGGAAAGGUAUUUUCCAGAGUUUCUUUGGCUUUGGUCGUAGAAUGGAUACGGGUUCUGUUUCGUGGCUUUAUAGAAACCUCAUUUGAUCGUUUUUACAAGAAGUGAUCGCAUAGCGGAGUGGAUAUCGCGUUAGACUCCGGAUCUAAAGGUCGUGGGUUCGAAUCCCACUGCGAUCGCAUCACAUUUUUUUGCCUCCUAUUUCGUUAUGUAUUUUCUUCCGAAAGUUUGUGAUAUAUCAAAUUUGGAGUUUCAGUUUUUUCCUAGCUUGUCUGAUUUUCAGGAGACCUGCUUUCCUCCCCCCCCCCCCCAAAUCGUUGCCUGUAUGGUUUAUUUUCUGGCAUUAAAACCGUGAAAAAUCAGAAAUACGUUUUUGGAUACAAUUUGGUAACUGGACCUCCAAUUUAUUGCAAUAUGAUGAUCCUUUGACAAUGAAUGUACUCCUUUGCACUCUGAAAGGUCACCUGAUGCAACUUAUCUGUUUUUGUUCCUUCUAGGUAUUAGAUAUAUUAGUAUUGGGAUCCAUAAUUUAAAAUAAUUUGAAUAAGAAUUUGUAUGGUAUAUCCGUUUACAGCGUGUAAUUAAAAGAUGUGCUUCCUUAUUGUUCCCGUAUUGAAAAUUUGAAGCUGUAAGUUUUCACUUAUCAAGCUGGCAUUGGAAGGGAUUUUAUAUUGAACUCGUUCAGUACCAGCAGAUGGGACAAGAAUAUUGAGUAAUUUUUUCAUAGCUCUCAAGUUGUCACUAUUACAUAUUUUGUACAUUGCAGGGCAAUACUUAUCGUUGAGCAUUUAAUUUAUUUCUAACUUAUGUGCAAUAGUUUGUACGUUGAAACUAAAUGCGCUGUCUACUGUUUCAGAAUGUCAAAUUGAUGAUUGGCGAUUUAUUUAUUCCCUGUAUAUACGGAUAACACUUCUACAGAUGUUUAUAUUGUACUUUAUUAUCAUUUCCUAUUGCCUUAUCAAUUUGAUGUGUGCUAUGCCAUGCCGCACUAUGGACCAUCUUACAAACGUUUGACGAGAUUUAAUGUUUGGCCUUGCGUUAUUGUUCUUGCCGGUCCAUAUAGGCUUGAGAUUAGGAGAUUGGAUAGAAGUUUGGUGGAGAAUUAGCUGAAGCCAUGGAAGGAUGUGGUCUGACAUUAUAGACUGCGGAUAUUCCAGCUUGACUUUUCAAAGAAAACUACUCGAAAAUUGUGCAUUUUUUAAUUUAUUUUUUAAAAAAUCAUGAAAAAUUCAAGACUGCAACAUUUUUUUACCCAUAAGAUAUCAAAGUGUCAUUAAUGAUUAAGAGAAAAUUGGGAGGUUGGGGCA